rnacentral:rRNA from 1 species
UACGGGGAUGGGUGCACGGCGCACGGGUGCGUAACACGUGGGCAAUCUGCCCUCCGAUGGGGAAUAACCCCGCGAGAGCGGGGCUAAUUCCGCAUAACAUUCCCUGGACCUCGGUUUGGGGAUUCAAAGCCGUAAGGCGUCGGAGGAGGAGCCCGCGCCCGAUUAGCUAGUUGGUGAGGUAACGGCUCACCAAGGCAAUGAUCGGUAGCUGGUCUGAGAGGAUGGCCAGCCACACUGGAACUGAGACACGGUCCAGACUCCUACGGGAGGCAGCAGUGGGGAAUCUUGCGCAAUGGGCGAAAGCCUGACGCAGCGACGCCGCGUGGGGGAUGAAGCUUCUCGGAGUGUAAACCCCUUUCGACUGGGACGAAUGCCUCGCAAGAGGAGUGACGGUACCAGUAGAAGAAGCCCCGGCUAACUACGUGCCAGCAGCCGCGGUAAGACGUAGGGGGCCAGCGUUGUUCGGAAUUACUGGGUGUAAAGGGUUCGUAGGCGGUGCGGCAAGUUGGGAGUGAAAUCUCUGGGCUUAACCCAGAGGCUGCUUCCAAAACUGCCGUGCUCGAGUGUGGGAGAGGCGCGUGGAAUUGCAGGUGUAGCGGUGAAAUGCGUAGAUAUCUGCAGGAACA